GUCGUCAGCUCGUGUCGUGAGAUGUUGGGUUAAGUCCCGCAACGAGCGCAACCCUUGUCAUUAGUUGCUACAUUCAGUUGAGCACUCUAAUGAGACUGCCGGUGACAAACCGGAGGAAGGUGGGGAUGACGUCAAGUCCUCAUGGCCCUUAUAGGUGGGGCUACACACGUCAUACAAUGGCUGGUACAGAGGGUUGCCAACCCGCGAGGGGGAGCUAAUCCCAUAAAACCAGUCGUAGUCCGGAUCGCAGUCUGCAACUCGACUGCGUGAAGUCGGAAUCGCUAGUAAUCGCGGAUCAGCAUGCCGCGGUGAAUACGUUCCCGGG
rnacentral:rRNA from 1 species